rnacentral:lncRNA from 1 species
AACUGUGCCAGCACAGUUGUAAUAUGGUUAUGAGGCUAUAAACAGAAACAUAAGCAGGACAUGCUUAAAUAUCUAUCACACUUUCAGAAAAUCAGUGUGCCAAUUGAAUUUGUGUUCCUCCAAUUUGGUAAUUCUGUUUGGAAAUUUGUUUAAAAUCGAAGGCUGUACUCCAAAUGGUUGAUAAUUGAAAGUAGGUACAUAACUUUUCAUUAUCAACAGGCACCAAACUGACGAUAAAGAGUACCGACAAAUCUAACAACUAAAGUGUAUCGGAGUUUGAGAAAAUUUAGCGUGCCAUUUUGCUCCAUCUCCACAUUUCAAUUAGGAAACAUAAACGUAAGCUUAAAUCUUGUGCCAAAAUAGUUCAAGUGCUUAAAAGCGUAACAGAGUUUCAGAAAAAUGAGCGUGCCAUUUUGGAAAUUUAGUUAGGUCCCAUUAUCAUUUUGGAUAUCAAUAAUUAUAGUUCCAGAAUUUCAGAAAUUGCAGCAUGCCAUUUUCCUUAAAAGCGUAUUAGAGUUUCAAAAUCCUCUGUGUGCCAUUUUUGGGAAUUAUUCCAUGGAAGCAAUAAUAAAUGCUUAAAUCGUGUAUUACAGUUUCAGAUACUAUUAUUCCUAUGCUUAAAAGUGUAUCGGAGUUUCAUAAAAUUCAGCGUGCCAUCUUAUGCAACAUUUUCUGAAUAUCACUUAACUGGGUGCACAGUUUAAUUAACUAUGUUCGCAGUUAAUUUAUCUGUGUUCGGAAACAAAGAAACUGUGUGCAGAGUAGAACUUAUUGUGUGCAUAAUUGAAGUAACUGUGUUUCGGGGUAGAAUAACAUUCUUCAAACUUUGCCAAACCUUCUAUUCAUCAAAAUUAGGUGUUCACUAUUUCAUUAAGAGAUGUAGCAAUGUAGAUUUAGUGUUUACUCCGUUUUAGUACCCCAUCUCAAACCACUUUCAACAAUUUCAGAAUAAUACUU